AUUGAACGCUGGCGGCAGGCCUAACACAUGCAAGUCUAACGAGUGGCUGACGGGUGAGUAAUGUCUGGGGAACUGCCUGAUGGCGGGGGAUAACUACUGGAAACGGUAGCUAAUACCGCAUACCAUCAGAUGUGCCCAGAUGGGAUUAGCUAGUUGGUUGGUUAACGGCUCCCCAGGGCGACGAUCCCUAGCUGGUCUGAGAGGAUGACCAGCCACACUGUAACGGAGACACGGGCCAGACGCCUACGGGAGGCAGCAGUGGGGAAUAUUGCACAAGGGGCGGAAGCCGGAUGCAGCCAUGCAGCGGGUAUGAAGAAGGCCUUAGGGUUGGAAAGGACUUUCAGCGGGGAGGCGUUACCCGCAGAAGAAGCACCGGCUAACUCCGGGCCAGCAGCGGCGGUAAUUC
rnacentral:rRNA from 1 species